GGAAGGGUCGCAUAGUGGUCGAGUGCGCUUGCUUGGAGAGCAGGUAUAGCCGCAAGGUUAUCGCGGGUUCGAAUCCCGCCCCUUCCGCCA
rnacentral:tRNA from 1 species